GAUGAACGCUGGCGGCGUGCCUAAUACAUGCAAGUCGAGCGAACGGACGAGAAGCUUGCUUCUCUGAUGUUAGCGGCGGACGGGUGAGUAACACGUGGAUAACCUACCUAUAAGACUGGGAUAACUUCGGGAAACCGGAGCUAAUACCGGAUAAUAUUUUGAACCGCAUGGUUCAAAAGUGAAAGACGGUCUUGCUGUCACUUAUAGAUGGAUCCGCGCUGCAUUAGCUAGUUGGUAAGGUAACGGCUUACCAAGGCAACGAUGCAUAGCCGACCUGAGAGGGCGAUCGGCCACACUGGAACUGAGACACGGUCCAGGCUCCUACGGGAGGCAGCAGUAGGGAAUCUUCCGCAAUGGGCGAAAGCCUGACGGAGCAACGCCGCGUGAGUGAUGAAGGUCUUCGGAUCGUAAAACUCUGUUAUUAGGGAAGAACAUAUGUGUAAGUAACUGUGCACAUCUUGACGGUACCUAAUCAGAAAGCCACGGCUAACUACGUGCCAGCAGCCGCGGUAAUACGUAGGUGGCAAGCGUUAUCCGGAAUUAUUGGGCGUAAAGCGCGCGUAGGCGGUUUUUUAAGUCUGAUGUGAAAGCCCACGGCGUCAACCGUGGAGGGUCAUUGGAAACUGGAAAACUUGAGUGCAGAAGAGGAAAGUGGAAUUCCAUGUGUAGCGGUGAAAUGCGCAGAGAUAUGGAGGAACACCAGUGGCGAAGGCGACUUUCUGGUCUGUAACUGACGCUGAUGUGCGAAAGCGUGGGGAUCAAACAGGAUUAGAUACCCUGGUAGUCCACGCCGUAAACGAUGAGUGCUAAGUGUUAGGGGGUUUCCGCCCCUUAGUGCUGCAGCUAACGCAUUAAGCACUCCGCCUGGGGAGUACGACCGCAAGGUUGAAACUCAAAGGAAUUGACGGGGACCCGCACAAGCGGUGGAGCAUGUGGUUUAAUUCGAAGCAACGCGAAGAACCUUACCAAAUCUUGACAUCCUUUGACAACUCUAGAGAUAGAGCCUUCCCCUUCGGGGGGCAAAGUGACAGGUGGUGCAUGGUUGUCGUCAGCUCGUGUCGUGAGAUGUUGGGUUAAGUCCCGCAACGAGCGCAACCCUUAAGCUUAGUUGCCAUCAUUAAGUUGGGCACUCUAAGUUGACUGCCGGUGACAAACCGGAGGAAGGUGGGGAUGACGUCAAAUCAUCAUGCCCCUUAUGAUUUGGGCUACACACGUGCUACAAUGGACAAUACAAAGGGCAGCGAAACCGCGAGGUCAAGCAAAUCCCAUAAAGUUGUUCUCAGUUCGGAUUGUAGUCUGCAACUCGACUACAUGAAGCUGGAAUCGCUAGUAAUCGUAGAUCAGCAUGCUACGGUGAAUACGUUCCCGGGUCU
rnacentral:rRNA from 1 species